rnacentral:rRNA from 1 species
GUAAUUCCAGCUCCAAAAGCGUAAAUGAAAGUUGUUGCAGUUAAAAAGCUCGUAGUUGAAAUUGGGGAAAGUAAAUGAAUUGAAAAUCUUUUGAUUGAUAUUUAUUUAUUCCUUAUAUGUUGUGAAUAUUGUUGAGGUUCUUUAUUGAAUUUCUUCAAUGUCCGACAGGUUUACUUUGAAAAAAUUAGAGUGCUUAAAGCAGGCUUAUGCUUGCAUAUUGUUGCAUGGAAUAAUGAAAUAGGACUUCGGUUUUAUUUUGUUGGUUUUCUUAACUGAAGUAAUGAUUAAAAGAGACUGCCGGGGGCAUAUGUAUGCUGGUGUUAGAGGUGAAAUUCUUAGAUCAUCAGCAGACAAACUACUGCGAAAGCAUUUGCCAAGAAUGUUCUCAUUAAUCAAGAACGAAAGUCAGAGGAUCGAAGACGAUCAGAUACCGUCCUAGUUCUGACCAUAAACUAUGCCAACUGACAGUUAGCGAUGAUAAUUUAUUUCAUCUUGCUAGAAGUCACCGGGAAACCUAAGUCUAUGGGUUCCGGGGGAAGUAUGGUUGCAAAGCUGAAACUUAAAGGAAUUGACGGAAGGGCACCACCAGGAGUGGAGCCUGCGGCUUAAUUUGACUCAACACGGGAAAUCUCACCCGGUCCGGACACUGUGAGGAUUGACAGAUUGACAGCUCUUUCUUGAUUCGGUGGGUGGUGGUGCAUGGCCGUUCUUAGUUGGUGGAGCAAUUUGUCUGGUUAAUUCCGAUAACGAACGAGACUCUUACCUGCUAAAUAGUACAUUUGUGUUAAAUCGCAAGUGCAAACUUCUUAGAGGAAUCGGUAGAUAAUUAAAACUAAAUGAAAUGGAGCAAUAACAGGUCUGUGAUGCCCUUAGAUGUCCGGGGCCGCACGCGCGCUACAAUGGCAGUACCAGCGAGUAUUAUUCCUAACUAGAAAUAGUCGGGUAAUCUGCUGAAACACUGUCGUGUCAGGAAUAGUGGUUUGAAAUUUUUCCACUUGAACGAGGAAUUCCUAGUAAGCGCAAGUCACUAACUUGCGCUGAUUACGUCCCUGCCCUUUGUACACACCGCCCGUCGCUACUACCGAUUGAAUGGUUUAAUGAGAUUGUUGGAUUCUGGUCUAAGAAAUGGCAACAUUUCUAUGAUUGGGAAAAGAUACUCAAAUUUGAUCAUUUAGAGGAAGUAAAAGUCGUAACAAGGUUUCC